UGCUCACCCUAAGAUAAGGCUUAUGCAGGAGUUCCAUAUACUAAUUUGUUGAGCGUAUACUAUAUGGAAGGGUCGAUUCCUAGAACGGAAGUGUCUGGGUCAACAUUAUGCAAUUUUAUGGUGUUACUAUGAGUCGACAAAGAAUUUCUCAAUUCCCACCAGCCCAGCUGGUCUCACUGGGCCCUCACCAAGCGCCAACUUCUCAAAGCAGAAAAUAUAAAGCAUCUAAGGACAACUGGUCCAGUUUCCCCAACAAAUCAAUGGCAAAAAGGAAAAAGUAGGUGGCAGACAAUCACAGACUAAAAGAGACUUAAGAGACACAUCAACCAAGCCCAGCACAGACCUUGUUUGGAUUCAGACUCAAACUGUCAAAAGGCAUUUUUAAACAGCUAGAGUAUUAGAAAACACGAAGGAGCCAUUGUUAAUUUUGUUAAGUGGAUAAUGACAUCCCUUAUUACCACUAAUGGAUGACACUGUGGCUAAGGAAAAAAGAGGUCCCAGAUCAACCUAUUAUCGAUACGCAUUAAAGUAUUUCUGAGUUAAA